GUAGAACGCGGCGGCNGCUCAUACUGCAAGUCGAACGAGGUGCUUUUGUAGCAAUACGAAAGUAUCNNAGUGGCGAACGGGUGAGUAACGCGUUGGUGACCUACCCCAAAGUGUGGGAUAACAGUCCGAAAGGAUUGCUAAUACCGCAUGUGGUCUCUGGGUUUAGAAACCGGUGACUAAAGGAGCAAUUCGCUUUGGGAGGGACCUGCGUCCCAUCAGCUAGUUGGUGAGGUAACGGCUCACCAAGGCGACGACGGGUAGGGGACCUGAGAGGGUGGCCCCCCACAAUGGAACUGAAACACGGUCCAUACACCUACGGGUGGCAGCAGUAGGGAAUAUUGCUCAAUGGGCGAAAGCCUGAAGCAGCAACGCCGCGUGUGCGAUGAAGGCCUUCGGGUCGUAAAGCACUUUUCUGCGAGAUGAGAAAGGACAGUAUCGUUAGGAAUAAGUUCUCGGCUAACUACGUGCCAGCAGCCGCGGUAAAAACGUAGGAGGCAAGCGUUAUUCCGGAUUCCACUGGGCGUUAAAAGCGCGUGCAAGGUUGGCGCGGGUAAAGUUGGGGUUGUGAAAAUCUUCCCCGGGCUCAACUGGGGAGAAGGUCCAUUUCCAAUAACUACCCGUGGCUUUGGA
rnacentral:rRNA from 1 species